UACGUAGGGUGCGAGCGUUAUCCGGAAUACUGGGCGUAAAGCGUGUGCAGGCGGGCUGACAAGUGGUGUAUGAAAUCUUCCGGCUUAACCGGGAGCGGUUAUGCCAGACUGUCAGUCUUGAGUGCGAGAGAGGAGCGUGGAAUUCCGGGUGUAGUGGUGAAAUGCGUAGAGAUCCGGAGGAACCCCAGAGGCGAAGGCGGCGCUCUGGCUCGCAACUGACGCUCAGACACGACAGCAUGGGGAGCGAACGGG
rnacentral:rRNA from 1 species